rnacentral:lncRNA from 1 species
CCCUCCACUUCUUCGCUCGCACCUGCCAGACAAUCUCGGCUCCUCUCCCCGUGGGUGGGGUGGCUGCACUGGGUGGCAGGUGCAAGCCCAGGACACACGCGCACAUGCGUUUACUCAGCCCCUCUGAGGGCUGGUCCGAGGAGCCACCCUGGGGGCCUCGUCCCUGCUUCAGGGAGCACGCUGGGCUCGGAAGACGGCCCGGCUGAGAGGGGCGCUGGCACUGGGGCACGGGCCGCCUGCACCGCCUCCUCGCUGGUCUGUGCUCUCUGCGCCUCCUGGCCCUGCAGGAGUGCAGCAAGCGCUGGUCCCUCCCUCCGGAUCCAAGCCCCGUGCUGUGCCUGCCCAGGGCUCAAGUCGGCCGUUGGACCUGAGGCUGGAGAGCCUGGAACCAAACAACAUUCAGGUGUGAGGUUCUGGAGGGUUCCAGAGGGUUCUGGAGGCCCCCAGAGCUCCCUGGGCCACCUGUGGCCAGAACAUGAGUGGCCACCCAGCUGUGGUCUUCAGCGACCUGGGCUCCGCGGACACACAGGAGCCUCAGUCCCUGUGCCCCCCACGCUUUCUGUCGGCCUGAAGCCUCCUGUCCCCCUUCCUACCUGUCACACCCUGGCCCUGGCCCCUGGUAGCUGCCUGCUCAGCUCAGUCUGGGAGAGACCAGAACCUCCCCUGCUCACAGACUCCCAGUCCCACAGACCCCGCUGGGAGCACAGCCCUGCUGCUGGGUGUGGGGGACAUGGUUUUCCCGAGGCCAGCCCUGCUGCUCACCCCAAGUCCCCGUCCUCACACACAGGCGCUUUUAUUUCUGAACUUUCACCCUCAGGCUGGACAGCCUGUGGCGAAGGUCAAACACCCAGUGCCCCGCUGACCGCUGAUCCCCAGGCAGGCCUGGGCACACUGAGGCCUCACUGCCCCCGCCACCCCUGCUCCAGCGCGGCCCCACACCAAGGUCACACAACCAGACGGGGCGGGUGGGGCCUGGGGUCCCAGGAGCCUCAGUCCCACGGGGUUUCCUGCUGGAGCAGCCGUGGAAAGCCGGAGCCCAGCCCCAGGACAAGGAGGGAGGGUCAUGUAGGAGGCGCCCUGUCCUCGUGGGGUGGCAGGCCCAGUGUCCCAACAGCAGCUGCCGUUGGCCACCACCUCGCUGACCUUCACCUCUGCUCUCACAACCCUGGGGGUGGGCGUGCCCUCCUCAGUUACGGGGGGGGGAAACCGAGGCUUGGAAAGUAA